AUUAGUGGCGAACGGGUGAGUAACACGUGGGCAAUCUGCCCUUCACUCUGGGACAAGCCCUGGAAACGGGGUCUAAUACCGGAUAACACUCCUCAGGGCAUCUUGGGGGGUUAAAAGCUCCGGCGGUGAAGGAUGAGCCCGCGGCCUAUCAGCUUGUUGGUGGGGUGAUGGCCUACCAAGGCGACGACGGGUAGCCGGCCUGAGAGGGCGACCGGCCACACUGGGACUGAGACACGGCCCAGACUCCUACGGGAGGCAGCAGUGGGGAAUAUUGCACAAUGGGCGAAAGCCUGAUGCAGCGACGCCGCGUGAGGGAUGACGGCCUUCGGGUUGUAAACCUCUUUCAGCAGGGAAGAAGCGAAAGUGACGGUACCUGCAGAAGAAGCGCCGGCUAACUACGUGCCAGCAGCCGCGGUAAUACGUAGGGCGCAAGCGUUGUCCGGAAUUAUUGGGCGUAAAGAGCUCGUAGGCGGCUUGUCACGUCGGAUGUGAAAGCCCGGGGCUUAACCCCGGGUCUGCAUUCGAUACGGGCUAGCUAGAGUGUGGUAGGGGAGAUCGGAAUUCCUGGUGUA
rnacentral:rRNA from 1 species